rnacentral:rRNA from 1 species
AACCUUUACAAUGCACGAAAGUGUGAUAAGGGAAUCCCAAGUGCCUUGCUUUUAGUAAGGCUUUUGCUUUGUGUAAAAAGCAUUGCGAAUAAGUGGUGGGUAAGACUUGUGCCAGCCGCCGCGGUAACACCAGCGCCACAAGUGGCGACCGCUUUUAUUGGGCCUAAAGCGUCCGUAGCCGGUUCAGUAAAUUUCCUGUGAAAUCGUUAGGCUUAACUUAACGUCGUGCAGGAAACACUACUGGACUAGGGACCGGGAGGCGUCAGAGGUAUUCUUGAGGGAGCGGUAAAAUGCUAUAAUCUCAGGAGGACCACCAGUGGCGAAAGCGUCUGACGAGAACGGAUCCGACGGUCAGGGACGAAAGCUAGGGGAGCAAACCGG